rnacentral:rRNA from 1 species
UGCCAGCAGCCGCGGUAAUACGGAGGGGGUUAGCGUUGUUCGGAAUUACUAGGCGUAAAGCGCGCGUAGGCGGAUUGGUUAGUUGGGGGUGAAAUCCCGGAGCUUAACUCCGGAACUGCCUUCAAAACUGCCAGUCUUGAGUCCGAGAGAGGUGAGUGGAAUUCCUAGUGUAGAGGUGAAAUUCGUAGAUAUUAGGAAGAACACCAGUGGCGAAGGCAUCUCUCUGGACCGAUAUUGACGCUGAGGCGCGAAGGCGUGGGUAGCGAACAGGAUUAGAUA